GAGAGAGUUCAGAGUACGUGAAACCGUUCAGGGGUAAACCUGAGAAGCCCGAAAGGUCGAAUGGGGAAAUUCAUUCGCGUUUCGGCCGUCGGCGUGGAAUGGUCGAGCGACGGACGGCGUACGCGUCGUUCGCGCCUUCCGUUCUUCGAACCGGCGUCGAACGCGUGCACUUUUCCCCUAGUAGGACGUCGCGAUCCGUUGGGUGUCGGUCUACGGCUCGCGGUGGAGCCCGUGCGGUCGCUUCGCGGCGUAUCGCACGGACCCGCGGUGUCCCGGCCGACUCGCUCGACGGUAUACAGAUGGCGCGGGGCCGCUAAAGUUAGCGUUCGGCCCGCGGCAAGCGCGUUCGUUGUUUGACGGCGAUCGGACCUGGUGCCGGUCCUGUCCGCGAACGACUGUUGGCUGCGGUGUUCUCGAACAGACCUCGAAACGAAACGCCGAUCUGCGACGCUAUAGCUUUGGGUACUUUCAGGACCCGUCUUGAAACACGGACCAAGGAGUCUAGCAUGUGCGCGAGUCAUUGGGACAUAACUAAACCUAAAGGCGUAAUGAAAGUGAAGGUCCGCCUUGCGCGGAUCUAGGGAGGAUGGGCGGNUUUUUGAUGCCCUUAAAAGCGGCCGCCCCGCACUCCCGGGGCGUCUCGUUCUCAUCGCGAGAAGAGGCGCACCAAGAGCGUACACGCUGGGACCG
rnacentral:rRNA from 2 species